UACGAGAGGCGCAAACGUUAUUCGGAUUUACUGGGCUUAAAGAGUUCGUAGGCGGCGCAGUAAGUAGGGUGUGAAAGCCCUCGGCUCAACCGAGGAAUUGCGCUCUAAACUACUGUGCUCGAGGGACCUAGAGGUGAGCGGAACUGAUGGUGGAGCGGUGAAAUGCGUUGAUAUCAUCAGGAACACCGGAGGCGAAGGCGGCUCACUGGGGGUCUUCUGACGCUGAGGAACGAAAGCCAGGGGAGCGAACGGG
rnacentral:rRNA from 1 species